rnacentral:rRNA from 1 species
CUACGGGGUGCAGCAGUGGGGAAUAUUGGACAAUGGGGGAAACCCUGAUCCAGCAAUGCCGCGUGUGUGAAGAAGGCCUGCGGGUUGUAAAGCACUUUCGGUUGGGAGGACUGCUUCUAGCACUAAUAUUGUUGGAAGUUGACGUUACCUUCAGAAGAAGCACCGGCUAACUCCGUGCCAGCGGCCGCGGUAAUACGGAGGGUGCAAGCGUUAAUCGGAAUUACUGGGCGUAAAGCGCGCGUAGGCGGCUAGAUCAGUCGGGUGUGAAAGCCCCGGGCUUAACCUGGGAACUGCAUCCGAUACUGUCUAGCUUGAGUACAGGAGAGGAGAGUGGAAUUCCACAUGUAGGGGUGAAAUGCGUAGAUAUGUGGAGGAACACCAAUGGCGAAGGCAGCUCUCUGGCCUGAUACUGACGCUGAGGUGCGAAAGCGUGGGGAGCAAACAGGAUUAGAUACCCGGGUAGUC